rnacentral:rRNA from 1 species
UACGUAGGGGGCAAGCGUUGUCCGGAAUCAUUGGGCGUAAAGCGCGUGUAGGUGGCUUGGUAAGUCCGGUGUGAAAUCUUGGGGCUCAACCCCAAACGUGCAUCGGAUACUGCCUCGCUCGAGUUCGGGAGGGGAGAGCGGAAUUCCUAGUGUAGCGGUGAAAUGCGCAGAUAUUAGGAAGAACACCGGUGGCGAAGGCGGCUCUCUGGAACGAUACUGACACUGAGACGCGAAAGCGUGGGUAGCGAACAGG